CCCGAUCGAUACGCUAAGUUCUCGCUAAUGCACCAAGUUUAAGGAAAGGCCAGAUCACAUUGAUAUCAUUUGUUGUUCUGUAUUGUCCCCACAAAAUGGAUUCAAAUAACUUGGCGGGGGCAGUGAGGAAUAGAGAGCAGAGAACAACGAAAAAAGGCUGGAUCACAUUUCUAUAUAGUUUUAUACGUAGUCUUAUCUUGCAUUUCUUCCAGAGAAUGUUUCUUGCUGUGAACCCAUGUGCUCCUGGUCACGCAGCAAUAACUCUUACCGCUUCGCCAAGGCUCGGCCUCAGUGAAGAACAAAAACUAAAUUUCCAUCAAUUCAUAGCUCGAUCCCCAUAGUUAAGCCAUAACUCGAAAGAAAUGCAAUGUUUUAUCUAAUUCAGUUGAAUGUAUCAAGUUAUGUGGUAAUGACCUGCUUAUCAAUGAUUAUAUCAUUUAAGCAAUAUAGAGAUUGCUUAUUACCAAUCACACCUAUCUGAAGUUUUUGCCAAGUUGGUACCCUAUAAUCCUAACAACAAGUUCUUUUCAUUAGCCAGACCAAUUCCAUUCCACGUCUAGAAAAAAUUGAAACCUUAUAUCAGAUUGUGAGAAGAAAAACUUUACCUGAGAGAUAUACCAUUCAGUUGUAUUAUAGAUAUUGUAAUCAGCACAAAACAUGGGCAACAGGGUUAUCUAUCUGCACAUGUAAAUUUUGGAACGGUAGAUAAAAACAUUAACAAUAAAAAACACCAGAAUUUAGACAGUUUGACAUCAAGUGUAUUCUUUGAAACUCAUAGGAAAUAACAUAAUGUAUCUAAAAGCAAUAUUUGAGGCACCUCAAACAAAGCAAAAUCUAGGAAAGCGAUAGUGUAUCUACCAAGGUCGAAUCCUCUACUGAUGCAGUGCCGCUUUUUAAACUAUGGUUGUAUUGUCAGUGAAAAUCUGAUGUAGUUUCCACGUCUGUCAUUCUACCUCCAAUCCUGCUUCCUUCAGCAGUCAUGGCUUAAAGAUCCACAAUAUCAACAAGAUUGUGCAAAAAAAACAUACAAUUAGUCACCAAAUAUACUUUAAAACAUGAACAUUUAGAUGAAAGAAUUAACAGGUAAAGAUAAAUAUGUUAAUACAAAAUAGUAAGCAAUGCUUAAAAUUUUGUUGGAAAAGUAAGUUACAACUAAUACCAACAAGACUUACUGGUAAAAAUGAGUAAGAUUGAACAAAGAACAUAAUAAAUUACAAAAAGUUUUCUUAUUAAAUACCAAAAGAGUUCGUAAAAGUGAACUUAUGAAGGUACUAAUUUCGGUCCAUAGAGAAUAAGCAACCUAACAUUUAAAUGCAAAGUUAUAAAGCAUGUUAUUUUGGGUUGAAAUAAAAUGAUAGCGCAACUUUCUGUAGCAACUGACAGUACUUUGUAGUACUAACAUAGGGAAGCAUUUCAGUCUGCAGGACUACCUGACUCAAUGAACAUGCAGAACAACACAAAGAGAAGAAAAGGAACUUUUCUCCACCUGAAAGUCCAUUAACCUGCAUCUGCAUAUGUAACACAACUAUCACACUGGAAACAUAUAUCUAUCUAAUGGAAUAUAUCAUUAAGAGGGGAAUAGAAGUAGUACGUAGGUCCAGUGUAGUCCUGAACCCAUCUAGAAAUGGAAAGAAAGAUCAUUAAUAACAAGAUGAGAAAAGAAAUCUAGUUACAAGCUAAUUCUGCACGAUGAUUGUAUUAGUGCUGUAUAUUGUGUUAGAAACAAUAUUUGCUUGAACAAGCUAAUUCUUAAGAUCGCCCUGUAAUGUAAGGGGAACACGAAUCGUCUAAAAAUAAGUUACUUACAGAAAGAACAUCACAGAACAUGUACGGCUAAAAUAUGAUUUUCUCUGUUUUCCUCUUGAAGAUCACCGCUCUUCUGAUAGCAAUAGGAGAACUGGGAGUUGAAAUUGAAGAACUGUAGUAUACGUUGCAGCUGAAAAUGACUAUGAAAACCUUAACAAAUACUAACUCACCAUCAAGAACAGUAAAGCUUCAAAUUUUAUGGAUUGCAUCAGUGAGCCUGUCAUUCCGUCUAUAUCAAGAACAAGUAUAUGCUAGCUGACAAUGGCAAUCCCAAUUUAUAGUUAUUUGUAGACCUUUUUCAUUUAAGUAAAUAUGUUUAACUUAUAAAUAAGGUUUAUUUAUAAGUUAUAUUACAGUUUGACUUAAAAGAACAAAGAUUUAUCUGUAAAAGCUCAUAUAAAUAGGUUGAUUAAAUAAGCCUUUGACAAAGUCUACAUCAGUUUGAGGGGAUACAUCAAUAAGAAACAGAAAUUUCUUCUAACACUUCAACUAUAUGACAAGGGUAUCACUAUUUCUAUUUGGAUUUACAAAGCAGUAGUUACUCGACAGCAAAAGUAUAUAACAUAGUAUCAUCUCUUUAAAACUGAAGUUUUGAAUAAUAGAGCUUAAAACUUUGUUUGGAAAAUUAUAGUAGCUAAUACCAACAUGAGUUACUGGUAAAGAACUUUAACUCACCCGAUCAGUUGUCUUCAUUCCCAUUAAUUUCCCUUUAAUGACUUCUUUGAGUCCUCACUUAUGGAGAUGGAGCUGUUAUGAAAAACAUAUUAACAAAGAAAAGAUAAGUCGGCUGAAACACCAAUUUCUCUUCAAGCAGUUGAAUUUCACAAAAUCAAGAAGCAUUCAACCAUUAUUUUAAUUGGAAUUGCAAAAAUACCAAGCAAAGCCCCUAAUUUCACUUCUGCCAAAAGCGAAACAAAAUCGUCAGUGGCAAUCAAUGUAGACUGCAAAAUUACCUAUUUAGAUUUUCUCCGGAAGACUCAAAUAAGC
rnacentral:lncRNA from 1 species